GAAAUGCGAUAAGUAAUGUGAAUUGCAGAAUUCAGUGAAUCAUCCAAUCUUUGAACGCACAUUGCGCCCCCUGGUAUUCCGGGGGGCAUGCCUGUUCGAGCGUCAUUUCACCACUCAAGCCUCGCUUGGUAUUGGGCAACGCGGUCCGCCGCGUGCCUCAAAUCGACCGGCUGGGUCUUCUGUCCCCUAAGCGUUGUGGAAACUAUUCGCUAAAGGGUGUUCGGGAGGCUACGCCGUAAAACAACCCCAUUUCUAAGGUUGACCUCGGAUCAGGUAGGGAUACCCGCUGAACUUAAGC
rnacentral:misc_RNA from 1 species